rnacentral:rRNA from 1 species
AUUGAACGCUGGCGGCAGGCCUAACACAUGCAAGUCGAGCGGAUGAGGGAGCUUGCUCCUGGAUUCAGCGGCGGACGGGUGAGUAAUGCCUAGGAAUCUGCCUGGUAGUGGGGGAUAACGUCCGGAAACGGGCGCUAAUACCGCAUACGUCCUGAGGGAGAAAGUGGGGGAUCUUCGGACCUCACGCUAUCAGAUGAGCCUAGGUCGGAUUAGCUAGUUGGUGGGGUAAAGGCCUACCAAGGCGACGAUCCGUAACUGGUCUGAGAGGAUGAUCAGUCACACUGGAACUGAGACACGGUCCAGACUCCUACGGGAGGCAGCAGUGGGGAAUAUUGGACAAUGGGCGAAAGCCUGAUCCAGCCAUGCCGCGUGUGUGAAGAAGGUCUUCGGAUUGUAAAGCACUUUAAGUUGGGAGGAAGGGCAGUAAGUUAAUACCUUGCUGUCUUGACGUUACCAACAGAAUAAGCACCGGCUAACUUCGUG